rnacentral:rRNA from 1 species
UACGGGGGGGGCAAGCGUUGUUCGGAAUUACUGGGCGUAAAGGGCGCGUAGGCGGCCUUCUAAGUCAGACGUGAAAUCCCCUGGCUUAACCUGGGAACUGCGUCUGAUACUGGGAGGCUUGAGUAUGGGAGAGGGAUGUAGAAUUCCAGGUGUAGCGGUGAAAUGCGUAGAUAUCUGGAGGAAUACCGGUGGCGAAGGCGGCAUCCUGGACCAUAACUGACGCUGAGGCGCGAAAGCUAGGGGAGCAAACGGG